UGAGCUUUAGUUUAAAUAGAAUUUUUGAUUGUUAGUCUAAAGGUGUAGAAAUACAGGUUCAG
rnacentral:tRNA from 1 species